GGGAUUAUAAGGGUGAGCCACUGCACCCAGCCGGCUUACCUAUAAUUUUCUACAUUCUGUUUGUAAUUUCACUAGCCACUUCAAGUUGUUUGUGAAAAAACUAGGAAAAUGAAUGGUAAAUACACUUAUGAUGACUAUCUUAUUCCUAGUCCCUUUCCCUCACUUCAGGUAAAAGUUAAAACUUAUACACCUGGCCAGGCACAGUGACUCAUACCUGUAAUCCCAGGACUUUGGGAGGCCAAGGCAGGCAGAUCAACUUGAGGCCAGGAGUUUGAGACCAGCCUGGCCAACAUGGUGAAACCCCGUCUCUACUAAAAAUACAAAAAUGAGACAGGCAUGGUGGUGUGUACCUGUAAUCCCAGCUACUUGGGAGGCUGAGGCACGAGAAUUGCUUGAGCCUGGGAAGCAGAGGAUGCAGUGAGCUGAGAUUGUGCCACUGCAUUCCAGCCUGGGUGACACAGCGAGACUCUUCUCAAAAAAAAAAAAAAAAAAAAAAAAAAAACGUAUACACCCUUCUCUGCUAAGAGUAUAUCUUGUUUAUGAGUUCUCUAGCAUUUUACAUAAGAUAAAUAGAGCUAAAACGAUGAAUUGUCUUUUAAUGUUAUUGCAGCUCUGCAGCAUGUCAUUCUCUUAACUUUGCUUUUUUUUUUUUUUUCCUGAGGGAGAUGGAUAGGUGAAGUAAUGGUUGACAAGCAUAAGUGGGAAGCUUCAAGUCCCAGGUUCUCCCAUCAAAUCAUUUUCUCACAAUCUUGCUCAGUAUUCUCUUCUAGUAGGCCAGAAUUUGAAGGAUUAGCUCUCUGUAUAUCUAAUCUAAAUCCUACUCCUUGUUUUAAACUCUUUGAUUUCAAAUAUUAAUGAUCUGGUACUAUUCACUAGUGUAUCUAUUUCCACAUACUUUCUUUAACUGAAGGUACAUGGAAGAUUCUAAGCAGGAUUCAUUGUUGUCUUAAUACAUCUUUUAUAUUUGCUAAGUUGAAGGCAGAAAGGUAACUGAGUGCUAUGACUAUUCUUAGGCAUUGUCAUCAACACCAAUGUGUCUAUGAUUUAAUAUUUUAAUACUGUACUUACCUUGAGAACUGGACAGUAAAGUUGCUUUGUAAAUGUAAGGUAAACAUUUCAAAUAUACUAUAAUCUUUGUAGUCAUAUUUUGUAUUUUUUCAUUGCUUAAUAUACCCUGAGCCAAAAACAAAAAAAAUAGCCUAGGCUAUUUUCUACUUCAAUUUUCAUUUACUUGGCUACUUUGUGCCAGGCACAGAGGGGAUACAGAGAUGGAGGAUAUCGUUUCUGAUCUAAAGGAGCUAACAGUCUAGAACUGCACUGUCCAGUAUGGUAGCCUCUAAUCACAUGUGGCCAUUUUAAUUUAAAUUAAAAAUCCAGUUUCUCGGUCAUACUAGCCAUAUUUCAAGAAGCCAAUAGUGGGCGGGCACUGUGGCUCACACCUGUAAUCCCAGCACUUUGAGAAGCCGAGGCCGUAGAAUUGCUUGAGCCCAGGAGUUCGAGAUAAGCCUGGCAAAAUAGUGAAACCCCAUGUCUGCAAACAUAAAUAAAUAAAUAAAUAAAUAAUAGCGGGGCACGGUAGUGUAUGCCUCUAGUCCAUGCUACUUAGAAGGCUGAGGCAGGAGAAUCGCUUGAGCCCAGGAAUUUGAGGCUGCAGUGAGCCAAGAUCUCACCAUUGCACUCCAGCCCAACCAACAGAGGGAGACCCCAUCUCAAAAAAAAAAAAAAGAAAAAAAAUUGUCAAUAGCUACUGUAUUGGACAGUGCAUGUAUACAACAUUUCUAUUAUUGCAGAAAGUACUUUUGGAUUGUGUUGGUCUAAAACUCAUAUAAGACUCAGACAUGCAAAGUAGGGCAAGGCAAUUUCAGACAGAAAGAUCGUGUGUGAAGUAUGCAUAAGAAUGACUUGGGGGGCAUGUUGAUUCCUGCUGCCAGAUAUUCUCAUUUAAGGGGUAGCAGGAGAGCCUGUGUUUUUAACAAAUACCCCAGGUGAUUCUGAUGCGGAAGGUGUGUGGACUACACAGAAAAAUCAUGUAGGGUAAGUGGCAAUCGCCUAAUAGAAUGAUUCUGAACUUCCUACUUAAAUGGCAUCUGGUGCUUGAGCCAAUCUAAUUUUGACUUAGCCAGAUAAGAGUGCAGUGAAUACAUUUGUACCUCAAGUGUUGUAGAGCAUUUUGUACUCUUUAGGUGUCUAAAGACAUAUCAAAGGUUAUAGGUGUCUUGAAUUUGUCAUGUACAUUUUGAAUACUUUAAAAGGAUGUGUUUAGGUCAGGAUAGGCUAGGUUAUGCAACAGUAAAAACCCCAAAAACAUCAAUGUAUUUUUCCAAAAGGGAAAGAGAGAACUCUAGAGGAUCUCACACUACCAAGAGUCCAGAAAAGACAGACAUCACUUCUCACAAGUCAUGUCAAAACUCAACACAGAACCAACCCUAAGGAAGCCAGAAAGUGCAGUCCUACCAUGUGUUCAAAAGAGAAACAGAACCAGAUAAGGGUGAGCAGCACCUAUGAUUACCACGUGAUGGUAAAGGAAAUAAUGGUGAUCGUGCUGCAAGACAGAUGAGACUUCCAGACACACAUAGUGGUGGUGAGUGGCAGAGAUGUGUAGGACUAGGAUGAGUUUUAGAGAAAUUCUUGACUGAGAGAAAGAAGCCAGCAUGAAAUGACGAAGAACUGAAAGUUGAGUUAGAGUGUUUUGUAGACAAACACCGUUGACUACCUCUCUCUUUAAGACAAAGGCUUGAUCCUGAAAGGGAUCUUAAUCUAAGGUUUUGGGUUUUGUUUUGAGACAGGGUCUUGCUGUGUCACCCAGGUCAGAGUGCAGUAGUGCAAUCACAGCUCACUGCAACCUCAACCCUCUGGGCUCAAGCAAUCCUCCUGCCUCAGCCUCCCGAGUAGCUGGGGCUGCAGGCAUGCACCACUGUGCCCAGCUAAUUUCUUUUAAAUUAUUAUUUGUAGAGAUGAAGUCUCGUUCUGUUGCCCAAGCUGGUCUGGAACUCCUGGGCUCAAGCAAUCCUCCUGCCUCUGCCUCCCAAAGUGCUGAGAUGAUAGGCAUGAGCCACCAUGCCCAGCCUGAAGCUUUGGGUUCUUGAGAGGAUGAUGUAAAAUAUUAUGAUAUAGGCAAAGGGACACAUCUGUAAGCUGACAGUGCUAUGUCAGAGAAGGAUCAAAGAGCCAGCAGUCUCAGAAGAGUCCUGCUUCUGUCUAAUCUGGGGAGAAGACUGUUCAGUCCAAUGCUACCUGAAGGGCCCCGGGCAGUAGACCCUGGUGUAGAAGGAGAAAAGUAGCUCCAGGAGAAGCCAUUUAAUUCCACUGAUAGCAGGAGUCAGCUAUUCUGGAUUUUGGUGGUUUUGUUUUGUUUUGUUUUGUUGUGUUUUGGUCUUGGUUUACUUUCUUCAAGCUAUUGAAUGCCCCUAUAUAUGACUAUGAUUUUUCUAAUGUCUGCACACAUCAGUGUGUGUAUCUAAACUGUAUAACUCAUAAAUAUUCAGUGACUCACCUUGUAAAAGGAUUUCAGUCUCUUGCUCUAGUGAAGCAAGAUCAUGUGAACACUAAUCUUGACCAGCGAAAUGUAAAUGAAACUAAUGUGUAUUAGUUCUAGCUGAAGUUUUUAUGCUCUCUGUUCCUCUGCCAAGAUGACCAACAGUGUUCCAGAAAAAAAACUGCCAUUGAUUUUAGCUGAGACCCUCAGAGGCCUGUGUAGUGUGAGGAGAAAUAAAUCUUUGUUGUUGUAAGCCACUGAUUUCGGGGAUCAUUGUUACUGUAGCAUAACCCAGCCCAUACUAACUGAUAUUAUGUGGAUUCUGUCACCAUCUGUGCAGAGUAGGCCAUUGAGAUACAUCAGGCAAUGAUGGAUUAGAAUGAAAAAUAAAGGAGAAAUGUAUGUUCCAAAAUACUGUUUUAUAAUGAUAAAAAGCCAAAUGAAGAAGAUAUAAUUGGGCCAGGCAUGGUGGUUCAUGCCUGUAAACCCAGCACUUUGGAAGGCCAAGGUGGGCAGAUCACCUGAGGUCAGGAGUUGGAGACCAGC
rnacentral:lncRNA from 1 species